rnacentral:rRNA from 1 species
GCGCACGGGUGAGUAACGCGUAUCCAACCUACCCAAUACUCAGGCAUAACCCGUUGAAAGACGGACUAAUUCCUGAUGGUAUGUAUUUUUCUCAUGAAUUAUACAUUAAAGAAUUUCGGUAUUGGAUGGGGAUGCGUCUGAUUAGUUUGUUGGUGAGGUAACGGCUCACCAAGACUUCGAUCAGUAGGGGUUCUGAGAGGAAGGUCCCCCACAUUGGAACUGAGACACGGUCCAAACUCC